AGUGAACGCUGGCGGUAGGCCUAAUACAUGCAAGUCGAACGGCAGCACAGUAAGAGCUUGCUCUUACGGGUGGCGAGUGGCGGACGGGUGAGGCAUACAUCGGAAUCUACUUUUUCGUGGGGGAUAACGUAGGGAAACUUACGCUAAUACCGCAUACGACCUACGGGUGAAAGCAGGGGAUCUUCGGACCUUGCGCGAUUGAUUGAGCCGAUGCCGGAUUAGCUAGUUGGGGUGGUAAAGGCACACCAAGGCGACGAUCCGUAGCUGGUCUGAGAGGAUGAUCAGCCACACUGGAACUGAGACACGGUCCAGACUCCUACGGGAGGCAGCAGUGGGGAAUAUUGGGCAAUGGGCGCAAGCCUGAUCGAGCCAUGCCGCGUGAGUGAAGAAGGCCUUCGGGUUGUAAAGCCCUUUUGUUGGGAAAGAAAAGCAGCAGGUGAAUACCCCGCUGUUCUGACGGUACCCAAAGAAAAAGCACCGGCUAACUUCGUG
rnacentral:rRNA from 1 species